UACGAAGGGGGCUAGCGUUGCUCGGAAUCACUGGGCGUAAAGCGCACGUAGGCGGCUUGUUAAGUCAGGGGUGAAAUCCUGGAGCUCAACUCCAGAACUGCCUUGAUACUGGCGAGCUUGAGUCCGGGAGAGGUGAGUGGAACUGCGAGUGUAGAGGUGAAAUUCGUAGAUAUUCGCAAGAACACCAGUGGCGAAGGCGGCUCACUGGCCCGGUACUGACGCUGAGGUGCGAAAGCGUGGGGAGCAAACAGG
rnacentral:rRNA from 1 species